rnacentral:lncRNA from 1 species
ACGUGGAGCUUGCUUGUGUUUCAAUACAAGCUCUUGCCUCAGUCCUCUCCAGAUUGCUAAAAGGAGGUGUAUAACCCUGCUCUUCAGCAGAAAGACCGCAGGUAUUCCCGCCGCAUCCACAUAUGCACACUUACUUCCCUUGGAUGUGUGGCAACGAGCUCUGCUGCUGCAAGUGUUAUAUGCCAUCCGCAAACCCACAUGGGUGCAGGGUGCACACCUGAACAGGGGGUAGCCUCUGAUGAAACAUUUGAGUAAUGGAUUUCUUUACCUCACCUAAACAGAUCCACUGAAAAGGAAACUUUUUGGGUUCCCACCCACACGCAAGAUGUACAAAGCUGUCUGGGGCAGGUCUGGUACAGACUAGCCAGUGCCCUCCACUGGAAUAAGUGGUUAAUCUCAAAGAGGUUUACGGUGGUUUCUCCACAUAUCUUCACCCUUCAAGCCUUUCCAUAAAAGUCACCAGCACCCUGUCUCUGGGAUGUGGAAGGCUUGGAGAAGUGAAGACAGGUGGAAAAACCAGGUUUCAUCAAGCUGUUGAAGAGACAUCAAAGCCAGGAGUAAUUCUCUGCAUCCUGUCACAUGCUUGUUUCUGCCUCCAAGAAAGCAGAGUUAAAAUGGACUUUCAGACCAGAGACAGGUGAGGAUGACAGGGAGGCAGUGCAAAGGCUCCGCAAGUCUGAAAAUAGCAUAGUGUGUCUGCCAAGGUCUGCGGGUGCCCAAAUUUCCCCCACCGCUUCACGGUGGCCUUGGCUUUACACACUGUUGCUACCAAGUCACAGAAGGAAAAAGAUUCUGAUGAUUUUCACUUGUUUCACGCUUGACAAUUAAAACAUUCUUCUGGAUUUCCUUUUUUUUUUUCUCUCUUAAACCAGUCAAUGUUGUCUUUGUGUAAUAAGAAAUAUCAGGUAAGUCUUAGGAUGUGGACAUCAUGUUUGGGGCAAUGUCUCCCUCACCGCCUCUCUCAUCCUUUAUACCAUAAAAGAGUGAUGGCAAUAUGCUAGCUGAAAUUCACCCUUCGAUGGUUUCAUUUUCUUGUCUACAAAGGCAGGGUGAGCGACUGCUGCCCUGUGAUUUCUGGCACUCCCAGUGGAAAGGAAGCAGAGGGGCCAAGUUAUGGCAGAGUGCGCCCAGUUAGGCCUUCGACUACAAAAGUAUCAUGGUUUCCCUUCCUCCCCAGUUACCAUUCUUUCCCUGGUUCCCAUCCCCUUCCACAUCCAGCAGUGUGGGCUAACCUUCCUUUCCUCAUCCUGGGAAAACACAUCUUGCUCCAGUGCAAAGUUAGAUUGGACAAACAGCCGGUGUGGAGGGGGCUGUGGGAGGUACGGCUUGCCAGGACAACUUGGCUGAAUGGGUUCCUGAAACAAGGCAUCUCCAAAUGCUCCCUGCCCCUCAAACAGCAGAGGAGUGUGAUAAUCAUGCUGUCAACAUUUUUAGAGCAUAGCACUUACACUUUUACUAGGCCUCACUCCGGACCUAUUGAAUCAAAAUUUGCAUUUUAACCCGAUCCCACGUGAAUCACACACACAUUAAAAUUUGGUAAGCAGUAUUCUAACUCACUAGACCGCAGGUCCACAAACUGACUCAUGGGACAAACCCGGCCAGCUGCCUAUUUUUGUAAAUCAAGUUUUAUUGGAACACAGCCACACUUGUUUAUGAAUUGUCUACAACUGUUUUUACGCUACAGUGGAAAAGCUGAGUAGUUACAACAGAGACCAUACUGCUGCAAAACCUAGUAUUUAGUCUCCAGACCUUUACAGAGAAAGUUUGCUGGCUCCUAUACUAGACUGUAGACUCCUUAAAAGUGAGAACCUGAUCUUGUUCUGCUUUGUAAGGUAGAAGGGCAGUUUAGUAUAGUGGAUAUACUACGUAGACUCAGAGGCAGAUUGACAUGGUUUGUAUCUAGGCUCUGCCACUCCCUUGCAAAUGACUGUGGGUAAGACAUAACCACUCUGUGCCUCAUGUUCCCCACCUAGAAAAUGGGGAUAUAUCAGAACCUACCUUUAAGGGUUGAUUUGUGGGUUAAAUAAGUGAAGAUAUGUAAAGACUUUAAGUAAUGCUCUCAGAAGAUGUUAACUAUUAGCUGGUACCAGGCAUUUUGGGAGUAGAUAGGGGAUCUGCUGAAUGUUGGCAGAAUGACCCAUCCCUAGAGCAGACAUUGUCUAUCAAUACCCAUUCUCUGCUUCUUCCUUGCUAACAUCAAUUAUUUCUGUAGAUAUCUGACCUUCAUGGAAGAUGACCUCAUCUCUGGGGGAAAAUACUAUUGAAAGCCAAUCACAAUGCCAUUCUCAGUGUCAGUGGAUUGGCAUGAGGUGGGUGGUUCUAGCCAAUGAGUCAUAAGAGGUUUUUUGUUUUUUUUUUUUUUAUUUGGGGUCUCACUCUGUCACUUAAGGCUAGAAUGCAGUGGUGUGAUCGUAGCUCACUGCAGCCUCAAAUUCCUGGGCUCAAGUGAUCCUCCUGCCUCAGCCUCCCUAGUAGGUGGAACCACAGGCGAGAGCCACCAUGCCCCGCUCAUUUUUUAUAUUUUUUGUAGAGACAGGGUCUUGCUAUGUUCCAGGCUGGUCUUAAACUCCUGGACUCAAACAAUCCCCCAACCUUGGCCUCCCAAAGUGUUGAGAUUAUAGGUGUGAGCCGCUGUGCCCGGCCUAGAAGAGGAUUCUUGAAGGACUUCUGGGAAAUGGUUCCUUCAUUCCUUAGAAGAAAACACAGAAGAGAUGCUCCUGUUCUUUUAUGAAUGUUAUCUCUGGGUGUGAUGCCUGAAACUGCAGCAGCAGGAAGGCAGGCAGUCUGAGAGCACAGCUGACCUAAUUAGAAUGGCAAGGAAGAAAGAUGGAAAGAAUUCAGGCCCCUUAAGAGGUCUCAGAGUUGCUGAAUCACCAAACUCCUGGGCUUACCUACUCACGUACUAAUGUUAUGAAAUAAAAUAAAUUUUCCUCAUAAUUUAAUUCUUGUCCAGAGCAUCCUGAUUCAUAUAGCCAGGGACCAUAGUUACACAUAUUUUUACUUCCUCCAGGACCUAACAACUGGUGUUGUGUGCUAUGAGCAAAGGAAGAGCAGUAGCUGGAAAUGAAUAACCUGGGUAGGACACAGGAAGACUCAAAAAUGUUCUAGGCUAUGCAAAUCAAAACCAUGAGAUAGUAAUAUCACCUAAUACCUUUUAAGAUGCCAUUAUGAAAAAACAAAACAUUACAAGUGUUGGAGAGGAUGUGGAGAAACUGGAACCCUUGUACAUUGUUGGUGGGAAUGUAAAAUGGUCUAGUCACUAUGGAAAACAGUAUGAAGGUCUUCAAAGAAUUAAAAACAGAACAAUAUAUGAUCCAGCAAUCCUACUUCUGGGUAUUUAUCUAAAAUAAUUAAAAGCAGGGCCUCGAAGAAACAGUCACACUCCCAUGUUCACUGCAGCAUUGUUUUCAACAAUCAAGGCGCGGAGCCAACCUAAAUGUCCCUCAAUGAAUGAACAAAGAAAAUGUGGCAUAGCCAUACAAUGGAAUGUUUUCAGCCUUAAAAAGAAAAUUCUGUCACAUGCUGUAACGUGGAUGAACCUGGAGGACAUUAUGCUAAGUGAAAUAAGCCAGUCAAAGGACAAACACUGCAUGAUUCCACUUAUAUGAGGCGUUCAAAGUAGUCAAACUCACAGAAGCAGAAAGUAGAACAGUGAUUGCCAGAGGCUGGUGGGAGGGGAAACGAGGAGUGGCUGUUCAAUGGGUAUAAACUUUUGGUUAUGCAAGAUGAAAAACUUGUAGCAGUCUGCUACAAAGCACUGUGCUGCUUCUAGUUAAUAAUGUACCGUCUCAAAAUAAAUAAAUAAUGUACUGUACACUUAAGAGGGUA